rnacentral:rRNA from 1 species
AACGAACGCUGGCGGCAGGCUUAACACAUGCAAGUCGAGCGCCUCGCAAGGGGAGCGGCAGACGGGUGAGUAACGCGUGGGAACAUGCCCAAAGGUACGGAACAACUCCGGGAAACUGGAGCUAAUACCGUAUGUGACCGAGAGGUGAAAGAUUUAUCGCCUUUGGAUUGGCCCGCGUUGGAUUAGCUAGUUGGUGGGGUAAAGGCCUACCAAGGCGACGAUCCAUAGCUGGUCUGAGAGGAUGAUCAGCCACACUGGGACUGAGACACGGCCCAGACUCCUACGGGAGGCAGCAGUGGGGAAUAUUGGACAAUGGGCGAAAGCCUGAUCCAGCCAUGCCGCGUGUGUGAUGAAGGCCUUAGGGUUGUAAAGCACUUUCGCCAGGGACGAUAAUGACGGUACCUGGAUAAGAAGCCCCGGCUAACUUCGUGCCAGCAGCCGCCGUAAAAC